CAGUAGCCGCGGAAUACGAAGGGUGCAAGCGUUAAUCGGAAUUAUUGGGCGUAAAGGGCUCGCAGGCGGUUUGUUAAGUCUGUUGUGAAAUCCCCGGGCUCAACCUGGGAAUGGCAAUGGAUACUGGCAAGCUAGAGUGUGUCAGAGGAUGGUGGAAUUCCCGGUGUAGCGGUGAAACGCGUAGAGAUCGGGAGGAACAUCAGUGGCGAAGGCGGCCAUCUGGGACAACACUGACGCUGAGGCACGAAAGCGUGGGGAGCAAACAGGAUUAGAUACCCCAGUAGUCCCUGUCUCUUAUACA
rnacentral:rRNA from 1 species